rnacentral:misc_RNA from 1 species
UUUCCGUUGGUGAACCAGCGGAGGGAUCAUUACAGAGUUUUCACAACUCCCAACCCUUGCGAACCGUACCCAUUCUGUUCUCGUUUCUUCCGGCGGGCCGGACGGGGGGGCCCGAAACGGCCUCCCCGCCCCGCCCGCCGGGGGCGGCGGGCCCUACGGACCUUUAUCUCUCAACCACCAGAAACCGUCCGAUAAAACAAACAAAAUAAUCAAAAUUUUCAACAACGGAUCUCUUUGCUCUCGCAACUAAGAAGAACGCAGCAGAUCGGACGAGCACAC